rnacentral:lncRNA from 1 species
GGGGGAAAGGGGGAUGAAGGGGGAAACAGAUAACCAGGACAAAUUACAGAGGUCUUUAAUAGAAUCCAAUCUAAUGAAAGGAAAACAUCUCCCUCUCUUUUUCCAUUCAUCCCUCUCUAUCCCUCUUUCUCUUCAUCUCUUUCUCUCCCUCCAUCUCUCUCCCUCUUCCCUCCCCUCCCUCCAUCAGGAAUUAUUGACUAUGACUUUUUGUCCUUAUGAUCUAUUUUCUAUCUAACUGCUACUUGUGUGGUAACGAGCAUCCCUUUAAUGAACCAUUUAAUCAACGACCAUAAUACAUACUAAACACCACACACGCACGCAUGCACACACACACACACACAAACACACACAACACACACUCUCCAUGUAGUAUGCCUACCUUUUAACACACACAUACACACACACCAUGGCAACAUAAACACACCACAACAAAAUACACAGCAAACACACACACACACACACACACACACAAAAUAGCACACAAUAUUGCGCAGCAUACUAUAGUAGACUAUAAAACACUAUAGUAUAGCCUAUUACUGCCAAGCAGACAAUGCACUAAGUCCAACUGAAAAGAACAUACUGCCAGGCAUUUAUUACUUGACACAGAGAGCAUAGACACGGUCCAAGGAAACACUACUGCCAUAUUUCCUUAUGCACACACGUUCCCAAAACUCUGUUUUAAUGAAUGUAUGCUAUACAUUUCAAACCACAAGCACACAGUUUGCACAGGGGCACAAAUAUGCCUAAACCCACACACAUACACGCUGAACCACACCCACAUGCGGACACACACACACAAUCUACCAAAGUGCUCUCUCUCAAAUGGACUACAAAAGAGAGGCAGAAGAGGAUGUCACUGGGGAGAAGAGAUGGGAAGAGGAGUUUCAGAUUUCCUGACAAUGUUUUUCAAGGAACAUUGGAUUUGGACUAGUACUAGUGCUUUAUGGACUGCACUUUUCACUGUGCUCGAUGGACUGCCAUAGACAGGGAAUGAAGGAAUAUUAACCAAACCAUGGCAAGAGAGAAACGGUUGCUUACUAAACUUAACCCUGUAGACGAAGAGACUAUAUAUGAGAGAAUAAUUAUUAUGAUGUGAUGGAAUAAAAUACUAUUUUACUUCUGUAAGCCCUUUCUACGGAGACCAUUUUGAAAACUGUCUUAUAGUGACAUUCUGUGGCCGGAAUACUGAAUUACACCCACUUGGAAUAUUGUACUGUACAGUAUACUGUUACUGAAAUCUACAUAGCUUUGUAUUGCUCAGUCUUUUCUACCAUUACGAUUUAACGGUUAUAGCUAAUAUCUACUAUUAUUAUACUAUAGUAUUCUUCUCAUUCGUCCUGACAAUUAUGAUAAGUGUAUUAAUAAUAAACUUUAAUAAUAAUAAGUAAUGGACAAGGGAGGUGCGUUUGAGGGUGAAAUUAUUUUGUAAUUUUAUUUUAUCAGAGAUAAUUAAUAAAGUAUAUAUCUAUAUAACAUCACUGAGUUAUUGGGUGAAUUUUGGCUUGCCUGUUCUUUCUUCUUUCGAAUCAUUACAGUUUACCUGCUGUCAUGCCCUGACCUUAGAGAUCCUUUUUAUUCUCUAUUUUGGUUAGGUUGGGGUGUGACUAGGGUGGGUUAUCUAGAUGUUCUAUUUCUAUGUUGGCGUGAUAUGGUUCUCAAUCAGAGGCAGCUGUCUAUCGUUAUCUCUGAUUGGGGAUCAUAUUUAGGCAGCCUUUUCCCACCUGUUGUUUGUGGGAUUUUAUUUUGAGUUAGUGCAUGUUGCACCUCUGUCGUCACGGUUUGUUGUUUUGUUUAUUGUAU